rnacentral:rRNA from 1 species
UACGUAGGGUGCGAGCGUUGUCCGGAAUUACUGGGCGUAAAGAGCUCGUAGGUGGUUUGUCGCGUUGUUCGUGAAAACUCACAGCUUAACUGUGGGCGUGCGGGCGAUAACGGGGCAGACUGGAGUACUGCAGGGGAGACUGGAAUUCUGGUGUAGCGGUGGAAUGCGCAGAUAUCAGGAGGAACACCGGUGGCGAAGGCGGGUCUCUGGGCCGAUACUGACG